rnacentral:rRNA from 1 species
UACAGAGGGGGCAAGCGUUAUUCGGAAUUAUUGGGCGUAAAGGGCGCGUAGGCGGCCAUUCAAGUGACGGGUGAAAGCCCUCGGCUUAACCGAGGAACUGCCUGUCAGACUGGAUGGCUUGAGACCGGGAGAGGUGAGUGGAAUUCCCAGUGUAGCGGUGAAAUGCGUAGAUAUUGGGAGGAACACCAGUGGCGAAGGCGGCUCACUGGUCCGGUACUGACGCUGAGGUGCGAAAGCGUGGGGAGCAAACAGG